UUCAUGGCUCCACUAUCAGAAAGACAUUGGACAAAAAUGGCAUCCAUGGAAGAGUGGUGAGGUGAAAACCACUGCUAUUCCAGAAGAACAUUAAGGCUCAUCUGAAAUUUGCCAAAACACACCUUGAUGAUCCUCAAACCUUUGGGAUGUUCUGUGGACUGAUGAGUCGAAAGUGGAACUGUUUAGAAGACAGGGGUGCCAUUAACAUCUGGUGUAAACCAAACAUCAAAUUCCACAAAAAGAAAACAUCAUUCCUACAGUCAAGCAUGGUGGUGGAGGUGUGAUGGUUGUGUACCCCGCCUCGUGCCCAAUGCUUCCUGGGAUAGGCUCCAGGUUCCCUGUGACAAUGAAAAGGAUAAGCAGUAUAGAAGUUGGAUGGAUGGAUAGAUGUAUUGCAUGUUUACUAUUGUGUGUUUGCCUUUGUUUUAUGUUUUGUGUAUUUUGUUUGAAGAUCUAAAACUAUUAGUAUGAGAUAUACACAAAAACAGAAUGAAAGACAGAAUGAAACAGACAGAAAUCAGGAUGGAGGCUAAAUAUAUAAUCAGCAAUUGCCAAUGAUAUAAAAUGAAUUCUACAGGAACAUUUUAGGUAAUACUGUGCUGGGUUUUAUGUUUGAAGGACAUUUUACCUUUUAUAUUUAUGAUCUGUGCUCAUGUGAAGUAUAUUAGAGUAGAUUGAAGCAGGGCUGGAAAAUUCUUGAUUACUUGCACUCUUUUACUCUAAUUAAGUACUAUUUUGGAAUUUCUACUAUUUUAUUUCUACUUUCUCAAAUACCACUUUAAAUUAAAUACUUGUACUCUUACUCAAGUAAAUUUACAAGAGAAAAGCACACUUUUUACUCCUUACAUUUUCACUGUGACCUUCAGAGUGCUCAUUAAAAAUAAAAAUGUUCUAUUUUUCGGGGGGUCUUUUUCUUGUUGGAUGACAUGCCUCCUACAAAACAAAGUAUCAUUCAUCUAUUUCCCCUACCACUUAUCCUACACAGGGUUGAGGGGAGACUGGAGACUCUCCCAGGGAACACAGAGCACGAGGUGGGGGACACCCUGGACAGUGUGCCAAUCAGCCUACACCACAUGUAGUUAUUUGGACUGGGGGAGGAAACUGGACUACUUUGGAAGAAACCCCGAAGCAUGGGGAGAACAUGCAAACUUUGUGCACACAGGGCGAAGGCGGGAUUCAAACCCCCAACCCCAGAGGCGGUUAAAUAAAUAACUGUUGCCUGUUUGAGUAUGUUUUUGACUUUCACCUAAUUAUAAUGUUGACUCCAUACUUUCACUUUUAACUGAGUAAGAUUUUGACACACUACCUAUACUUUUACUUAAGUACAGUUUCACUGUCCUUUUUCCACUCUGCAUGGGAGGAAUUUCCAAACGCUGGAUCAGAAAUUUUAUCGUUUAUUUUCCUUUACUAGAAAUAAAA
ensembl:lncRNA